rnacentral:lncRNA from 1 species
GUUUUUUUUUCUUUCUGACAAAUGGCUAGCCAGCUAUUUUGUUUUUUGCAGAAUAACCAACAUAGGUCUACUUGCUUUUCUACGCCCUGCUGGGCCAGAAAUCUUUCAAGACGAGGAGGGAUGCAUUUUGCCCAGAAAAUGGGCUAUAAAUAAUAAGAAAUGGGCUAUAAGUAAUAAGAAAUGGGCUAUAAGUAAUAAUAAAUGGGCUAUAAGUAAUAAUAAAUGGGCUGUAAAAUGAAAAAAAUACAGCAAACAGGCAAUUAGUUCCCAAAUACUGUUUUCUUUCGGAUUUUGAUAUUUUAAAUUUCAUUGUUUUUGUGCGGGUAAAAUUUCAUUGAAUUUAAAUUAAGGUAUAUUUAGAUUUAAAAUUAAUUUGAAUCCGGCUAGAAAUUUCGGGCUGUAUGCUGUUUGGGACAGAUUUGGAGGCUGACUUGUGGGUCUACUAGGUUGACGUGUACUUUGGCUUUGUCAACUUAGUCCACAAAUGAUUCUAGCAGUAGUGACCGUUGGAUGUUAAUCCAACGGCCGUGCUGCUUCUUCAAUAUCUGAUCUUCUUGCUCCAGCCGCCCAAACCAGCUCCGGUGGGACUGCCUGCUCCCGCCUCCCGUGGCCGGUUGUGCUGCCGCAUAGGCCGCACCGUCCCACCCUACUUCAUUGCUGGCCAGGCCAUUCCUCUACUCACCCACACCUCUUGUUAUUUUCCGGCGACGGCAGCCGGACCAAUAAACCCUCGUACUCCCCACCGCGUGGGCAACCAUUGCCGAGUCUUCCCCGGCUCCGUGUCUUUCCCUUCCUAGGCCUCGCCGUCGUCCACCGCCAUGGUGCUCUCGACGCAGCCUGGCCAACAUGGUCAACGAACGACAUCCAUCAGCCGUGGACUGUACGCGCAAAAUAAUGAUUCCUCCACCUGACAGCUGGGACCCACCGGAAGGGCCUCUAUAUUUCACGAAAAAAAACGUUCCCCCCACUGACAUGUCAGACCCACCAGCUAUAUCUUCGCACGCAAGGAAGUGCCUCCUUAUUACGCACAAAAAAAUGAAUACCCACCCUGCUAGAUGGGACCCACCAUAGUGGGAGGAUGACUUGUGGGCCAACUAAGUUGAUGGGGAUGGAGGGCUUUGUCAACUUAGUCAAUAUGAACGAUUCUAGCUGCAGUGACCGUACGAUGUCCAUCCAACGGCCAUAGUGCUUCUUCAACCUCUGGUCUUGUUGCUCCAGCCACCCAAAGCAGCGUCAGUCGUGCCGCGUGCUCCUGCCUCUCGUGGCCGACUGUGAUGCCGUGAAGGCCUCACCGCCCCCUACUACUCCCACCGCUGGCCCAGGGUAUCCCUCUACUCACCCACACCCCCUGUUAUUCUGCGGCGACGGCAGCCUCACGCCGCAGCCGAACCAGUGAACCCUCGUACUCCUCUCCGCGCGGGCUACCACUGCUGCGUCUUCCCCGGCUCCGUGUCGUCCCCUUCAUAGGCCUCGCCAUCGUCCAGACCACCGCCCUGGUGCUCUCAGCGCGGCGUGGUCAACGACCGACUUCCAUCGGAAGAGUAAUGUACGUGGAGAGGCUGACAGCUGGGUCCAGGCGGCCGCAAGGAAGUGCCUCCUUAUUACGCGCAAAAUAAUUAUUCCUCCACCUGACAGCAGGGACCCACUGGACGGGCCACCUUAUUUCGCGAAAAAACGUUUCCCCCCUGACUGCUGGGACCCACCGGACGGGCCAGCGUAUUUCGCGAAAAAAACGUUCCCCACACUGUCAGCUCGGACCCACCGAAAGUGCCUCCUUAUUACGCACAAAAAAAUGAAUACUCCCCUUGCUAGCUGGGACCCACCAUGGUGGGAGGCUGACUUGUGGGCCUACUAAGUUGACUGGGACGGGGGCCUUUGUCAACUUUAGUCAAUAUAUGAACGAUUCUAGCUCCAGUGACCGUACGAUGUCCAUCCAACGGUCGUAGUGCUUCUUCAACCUCUGGUCUUCUUGCUCCAGCCGCCCAAAGCAGCGUCGGUCGUGCCGCAUGCUCCUGCCUCCCGUGGCCGACUGUGCUGCCACGGAGGCCUCACCGCCCCCUACUAUUCCCACCGCUGGCCAGGCCCUGCGGCAACGGCAGCCUCACACCGCAGCCGAACCAGUGAACCCUCGUACUCCUCUCCGCACGGGCUUCCACUGCCGCGUCUUCCCCGGCUCCCCGUCGUCCCCUUCCUAGGCCUCACCGUCGUCCACCGCCCUUGUGCUCUCGGUGCAGCAUGGUCAACGUGGUCAAGGAACGACUUGCAUCGGACAUGGACUGUACGUGGAAAGGCUGACAGCUGGGUCCACGGCCGCAGCAAGGAAGUGCCUCCUUAUUACACGGAAAAUAAUGAUUCCUCCACCUCACAACUGGGACCCACCGGACGGGCCACUGUAUUUUGCGGAAAAAAAUGUUCCCCCCUGACUGCUGGGACCCACCAGCUACAUCUUCGCACGCAAGGAAGUGCGUCCGGGCAAAAAAAAACAAAAUGAUUCGCCCCCCUGACCGCUGGGACCCACCAGCGACACCUUCGCAUGCAAGGAAGUGCGUCCGGGCAAAAAAACGAUUCGCCCCCCUAACUGCUGGGACCCACCAGCUACAUCUUCGCACGCAAGGAAGUGCCUGACAGUCGGGACCCACCUAGUCGAAGCGUACGUAGCGUUGUCAUUCUGGUCGCGAACGUGUACGUACAUAUAUACUGGUGUAUGUAGAGGUGCGCACGUGUCGUAGUAGAGGCGCGCACGUAGCAUGUACACGUACGUACAGCGGCGAGGGUGCAAGAAAGAAAAUACGGCCAUGUACGUACAUACGGGCAGGGUCUCUAACGCCUAUCGCGCAUACGUACAUGGCUGGGUCGGAACGGAAAAACAGCAUCGUCGUCGUGUUCAUGGGGAGCCAACCGGUUGGGUCGGAACGGAAUGCGUGGUCGUGUCAUCGGGAGGGCUUGGACAGAACAGGCGAUGGAAACGAGGCCUGGCGUACCGCACAAUGGAGGAAACGGCCUUGUGUUCGACUGGCCACGUUCGAAACGGGGUCCUGUUGAUCGGGAGGGGCCUGGCAUACCGCAAAACGGAGGAAACGGACCUCCUAUGGUCGAAACGGGGGUCCUAUUGAUCGGGAGGGGUGUGGCGUACCGCAAAACGGAUGAAACGGACUUGUUUGGAGUGCUACGGUCGAAAUGGGGGUCCUGUUAAUCGGGAGGGGUGUGGCGUACCGCAAAACGGACGAAACAGACUUGUGUUGGACCGCUACGGUCGAAACGGGGGGAAGGGGUGUGGCGUACCACGAAACGGGACUCCACGGGAUACUGUUCAUCUCCACCGUCGACCUCCUCUAGCCUCCACGGGCUACCAUCGACCUCCUCCAGCCUCCACGGGCUCCUGUUCAUCCAGCCUCCACCGCGCGCUACUCCACUGGCUACUGUUCAACCAUCCCUCCAUGGGCACCCCUCCACCGUCUACUGUUCAUCCAACCCUCCACACCACGGGGUCCUGUUCAACCACCCCUCCGCGGCCACCCCUCCACUGUCUACUGUUCAUCCAGUCCUCCACACCACGGGUUCCUGUUCAUCCAGAGGCAAUGCCACUGCUCACUGUUCAUCCAAAAACCCCCGCAACGCUCACUGUUCAUCCCGGCAGCAUCGGCCGGCUUCAGUUAGCAGUAGUAGCAAAGGAAUCGCUCCAUCAGGUUCAGUUAACAGCCAUCGAUCGAUCGCUCGGGUUCAGUAACGCAUAGCCUGCAGUGCAAUCGCUCGGGUUCAGUUAGAGCCCAACGCCUUGCUCGGCUUCAGUUAGAGACAACGCCUUGCACACAUGCGCGUACGUACGAUAGAAAUGUGCAUCGCUCCGCCCCCGAACUCCCACUGUAACCGGCAACUCCCUGAAAUUUUCCUCCCCCUUGCUUCUACCAUGGUUUUUUCCGUCAUGGACGACCCAAAGAAUGUCAUGCAGCUGCGUCUCCGGCCCGCCCAGGACGAAAAGCCCAUUUUUUGUCAUGAUUUUUUGUCAUAGAAGUAGGAGCCCACCACAUCUAUGAUGAUACCGGGUUUUGUCACAAUUAUCGUCAUAGAAGUGUCAUAUGUAUGAAAGAAAAAAAAUCAUUCGGCCCAAAAUGUCACGGAUGUGUCUUUUUUUUAGUGAAAUUGUUCCGGAGAAGUGCUUGAUCUGUAUGCUCUACACAAUAAGCCUACUGACAAAGGUUGGUACUCGCCCACGGAUUUCAUCCUUAUGAUUGAGCUUUGCCAUCUCUAUUGGUGUUGUGCUACUGUUUAGAUACUGUCAUGAGAAAGUGGUAUUGUCCUUGAGAAGUUCUUCACCUGUGUUGUUUUAAAUAUUUCCUUUCCCUUUUUCGAGCAAACAGGGAUGCUAGCAUUUAGUUGUCCUCUUGUCUUUGCACAAUAGGAUCAUCCUCCUCUGAAGAAGAAUAUGGAGUACGUGAAGUGACUAUUUCCGAUUAUGCCAGGAUGAAGAAGCCCUGUCUAUCUUCUCAUCAGAAGGAACAGUUGAAGGAUGGUUACAUUACUCCCCACAAGACCAAACUAACUUCAGCUCAGAAGGACUGACAAAUCUCCAUUUUGUUGCUGUGAUGCACAAGUACAAUGUUGUUCUAGGAUUCUUUCCGGUGAGUUCCAUUUUUUUAAAGUGUGCUCUACAUGGACCAUGUAUAUUCUGUUUAAACUAUCAAUUCAUAUUACAGUUUGCUUGCUACUAAUCACUUUUUUGUAUUUGUGCAAACAGGGGUGCUCAGCUUGAUUUCAAUGGGAACUACACAAAAUGUUCAUGAAUACAUCGAACCAUUCAUUUCCACCACAAGAAAGGAGGUGCCAAUAAGUUCAAGGCAUUGCAACAUAUAAGAGCGAAAUCAUACAAGCUACACGCGAAUUUGGUUGAUUUUUGUGGAACUUCACAAAAAGAACAGCUAGUUUAUUUAGCACGAGGUGUCAUGUCAAUGUCUGAACUGAUGGCAAACCCUGCCCAUUCCACAAUCGUAGGCAUUUGAUAUUUUGGAAUGGGAAAACCUUGUCAAAGUUUGCUCAUUGAUGUACGCAAAACAACAAGCAUUUGACAUUUUGGAACGGGACAACCUUGUCAAAUUUUGCUCAUUGAUGUUAGCAAGAAGACAUGCGUUUGAUAUUUUCGAAUGGGACGCCCUUUGUUGUCAGCAGCGUCGCUCGAUUUUUGUUUAUACUUUAGAUGUGAAGUAAAUAUUGACUCUGACAUGUCAAUCGCUAAGAUGCAUAAUCAUCGAUUUCUUUGAAUGUUCUCUAUGAAUUGCCAGGCCUGUGUGUUUGAUUGCAAUGUACAGGAACGCUAAAAAGCUGCUCAAACUCUUUGUACUCCCUCUGUUCCUUUUUAUUUCGCACAUUGUGAAAGUUCAUACUUUUUCUAUAAGAUUGGUCAAAGUAGAGAUACUUUGACUGCAGACAAAACUUGUAUGCAGACUAAAAAGGACCGGAGGGAGUACAUGUGAAACUGAUGCAAACGAGGUGAUCACCCUGGGAAUAAUGCUAGUACGUAUUGUUUUGCAUGUUCAUCCAAUGCCACUGAUACAAGAAUUCGAACUAAUCGAACUAAAUUCAUUCAUACACGGUUGGAUUUCAUAUAAACAUUCUAGAUUUCAUUACAUUUCAUACAUUCUUCAACUAAAAAGGGGUGUGUUGGAGGUAUAAUUAAUUAACCGAAGCUACCCACAUGUGUCUGGCUGAGCCGACCAUAAGCUUCUUCUUCAGCCGACUAAGCUUCAGUGACUUAACUACAGGUGCAGUUGCGUAACUAACAUGUGGCCCAGAUGCCUAUUGGGCCCAUGUGUCAGUCAACCAACUACACCAGCAGUUAAGUAGAAGCAGCGUCCUUCUCCAACAUAGCUCUCCGACUCCACGUCGCGGCCAAGAAGCUAAUCGGCUGUCAAUGGUCAACCCUCCUAGCUUGGCUUCAAUCGGAGGGUAGCAGCGGUGGCCUUACUUGGACCCGAGCGGCGACGACCUACCGUUUUCUACUCUUCCUCAUUUUCUGUGUGGCGCGGCCUCAUUGCCAGCGGGGCGGGCCCUCGACGGAGCCGGCAAUGUCCUCUGUCUCGUUGUCGGCGGGGCAGCGCCUCGGCGGAGCAGGGUAAAUCCUCCUCCUCAUUGCCGGCAAGGUGGGGCCUCGGUUGAGCCGGCGAUGUCCUCUGCAUCGUUGUUGGUUGGGCGGGGCCUCGGUGGAGUAGGGCCUUGCUACGUCUUGAGCUUGCGUUGGUUUUCCUUGAAGAGGAAAGGGUGAUGCAGCACAGUAGCGUAAGUAUUUCCCUUAGUUUUUUAGAACCAAGGUAUCAAUCCAGUAGGAGGCUCCUCAAAAGUCCCACGCACCUACACAAACAAAUAAGAACUCGCAACCAACGCAAUAAAGGGGUUGUCAAUCCCUUCAAGGCCACUUGCGAAAGUGAGAUCUGAUAGAGAUAAUAUGAUAAGAUAAAUAUAUUUUGGUAUUUUAUGAUAUAGAUUGGAAAAGUUAAGAUGCAAAUAAAAGUAGAUUGAAAGCUUAUAUGAUAAGAGAUAGACCCGGGGGCCAUAGGUUUCACUGGUGGCUUCUCUCAAGAUAGCAUAAGUAUUAUGGUGGGUGAACAAAUUACUGUCGAGCAAUUGAUAGAAAAGCGAAUAAUUAUGAGAUUAUCUAGGCAUGAUCAUGUAUAUAGGCAUCACGUCCGUGACAAUUAGACCAACUCCUGCCUGCAUCUACUACUAUUACUCCACACAUCGACCGCUAUCCAGCAUGCAUCUAGAGUAUUAAGUUCAUAAAGAACAGAGUAACGCAUUAACAAAGAUGACAUGAUGUAGAGGGAUAAACUCAUGCAAUAUGAUAUAAACCCCAUCUUUUUAUCCUCGAUGGCAACAAUACAAUACGUGCCUUGCUGCCCCUGCUGUCACUGGGAAAGGACACCGCAAGAUUGAACCCAAAGCUAAGCACUUCUCCCAUUGCAAGAAAGAUCAAUCUAGUAGGCCAAACCAAACUGAUAAUUCGAAGAGACUUGCAAAGAUAACUUAAUCACACAUAAAAUAAUUCAGAGGAGAUUCAAAUAUUUCUCAUAGAUAAACUUGAUCAUAAACCCACAAUUCAUCGGAUCUCGACAAACACACCGCAAAAAGAGUUACAUCGAAUAGAUCUCCAAGAAGAUCGAGGAGAACUUUGUAUUGAGAUUCAAAGAGAGAGAAGAAGCCAUCUAGCUAAUAACUAUGGACCCGAAGGUCUGUGGUAAACUACUCACAACUCAUCGGAGAGGCUAUGGUGUUGAUGUAGAAGCCCUCCAUGGUUGAUUCCCCCUCCGGCGGAGCACCGGCGAAGGCUCCAAGAUGGGAUCUCGCGGAUAAAGAAGGUUACGGUGGUGGAAAUAGUUUUUUGUGGUAGCUUCUGAUGUUUUUGGGGUACAUGGGUAUAUAUAGGAGGAAGAAGUAGGUCGGUGGACGCUCGAGGGGCCCACGAGGGUGGGAGGCGAUGUCGGUGUCAAAACUGGCGGAUCUCGGGUAGGGGGUCCCAAACUGUGCGUCAAAGCUAAUGGUAACAGGAGGCGGGGGACACAAUGUUUACCCAGGUUCAUGCCCUCUCGAUGGAGGUAAUACCCUACUUCCUGCUUGAUUAACCUUGAUGAUAUGAGUAUUGCAAGAGUUGAUCUACCACGAGAUCGUAGAGGCUAAACCCUAGAAGCUAGCCUAUGAUUCGGUUACAGAGAAGGGGAUCUACAUAUCCGAAUUGCCAAGCUUGCCUUCCACGCAAAGGGGAGUCCCACCCGGACACGGGAUGAAGUAUUCAAUCUUGUAUCUUCAUAGUCCAACAGUCCGGCCAAAGUAUAUAGUCCGGCUGUCCGAGGACCCCUUAAUCCAGGAGUCCCUCAGUAGCCCCUGAACCAGGCUUCAAUGACGAUGAGUCCGGCACGCAUAUUGUCUUCGGCAUUGCAAGGCGGGUUCCUUCUCCCAAUACUCCAUAGAAGAUCUUGAAUAUGAGGAUCGUGUCCGGCUCUGCACAAUAAUUUCCACAUACCACCAUAGAGAGCACAAUAUUCCACAAAUCUAAUCUGCUGACAACUUUUUCAUAGUGUGACAUCACACAACGGCCUAGUCAUUAUUUGAACCGUUUUUCUCAACCAGCUACUGCACAUAUUGCGAGGCGGUUUCCUUGGCAUGUCUUGUCGAAGCACAGAUCAUGUCCCCCUAUCACGGGAUUCUCAUCAAUACGGGUGUGGGUAACCCAACCGCGCCAUCAACGCGGCGCUUGGGGAAUAAGAGAUUUUGCCGGGCAAGUGGGGAGGCACAGGAUCCCUACUGCCUUUAUAAGGGGAUAAGGACUCCCUUUUUCACCCACGCCUUCUUCUUCCCUCGCUCAUCCAUUCUCGCACGCUCGAGCUCUAGCGCCCAAGUUCUCACCUUCUGCGUAGAGUCAUUCCAAACAUGUCCGGUACGGGAGGUAAGUGGAUGGUCUCCUCCAUUAUAGAGGAGGACAUCAUGAAGCUCCGGGAGGCCGGAUACUUGGCCGCAAACAUCGCGCACCUACUCCCGGAUGCAGGGCAGAUCGUCCCUACUCCAGAACCCCACGAGAAGGUUGUAUUCCUGGCUCACUUCAUCCGCGGAUUGGGAUUCCCUCUCCACCCAUUUGUCCGCGGGCUCAUGUUAUACUACGGGCUAGACUUCCACGAUCUAGCCCGCAAUUUCAUUCUCAACAUCUCGGCGUUCAUCGUCGUGUGCGAGGCCUUCCUCCGCAUCAAGCCCCACUUCGGCGUGUGGCUAAAGACCUUCAACAUGAAGCCGAAGAUAGUGGUCGGCCAGCAAGCGGAGUGCAGAGGUGCCAUGGUGGGCAAGAUGCCCAACGUCACCUGGCUCGAAGGCUCCUAUGUUGAGACCGUGAAGGGGUGGCAAUCGGGGUGGUUCUACAUCACCGAGCCGCGCGACUCCAACUGGGCGGCGGCCACCGAAUUUUGAUCUAGCAUCCCCAUGCGGCUCACUUCCUGGAAAAAGAAGGGAUUAGCCUGGGGUGAGCCGGCGGAGCUGACCGGACUCCAGAAUUGUGUCCAAAAUAUGAUAAGCAAGAAGAUCAAGCUUGUCAACAUGGUCCAGGUCAUGCUCUUCCGUCGGAUCCUCCCAUGUCAAAGACGGGCAUUCAAUAUGUGGGAGUUUGACCCGGCCGUACACCAGACGCUGCAAGAGCUCUUCGACACGACGCACAAAGACAUCUGGAAGGUGUUGUUCAAGGCCGCCGAGGUACCUCCUCCCCUUACCGAGGAUCACGGACUCAGUGCAAAGCGCCGCGCCAAUCCGGUAAGCUAUCUGUAUUUUACAAGAUGCUCCUUUUCCCAGUAUAUUCGUGGGAGAGAUCUAAGUCCCCACACCAAUUCCAUAGGACUGGUUACGACAGCGGAGCGGGUCGACUGUCCAGCUCCUCUACCUGAAGAUCCAGCAACGGCUCUCUUAACGGAGAUGUUGUUUCCGGCGCCCUACGAGGUGCUGGAGAAGAAGGCCACGGGGACCAGGAAAGGUCUCCAGCGCAAGGUUGUGUCGGACUCAUCGUCCGAAGACACCAAGGCGCACUCCUCCAACAAAAACGAGGAGGAGGAAGAGGAAAACCCUCCCCCCCCCCCAACCGGGGGGGGGGAAAGAAAAGGAAGGUCGCCCCGUCCGGGGAGGCCGAAGGGUCCAAGAAAGGAAGGACCCUCCCUCCGGACCACUCCACAACAGCCGCCUACAGUGACGAGGAGUGGUUGCCCAGGGACAAGCCCCUGGCGGAGUCGUAAGUAUCCGUACACUAUGAUACUUCCGGUAUGUUUUGCUUUAUUGCUUCUUAUUAUGUCAAAUAUGAUUGUGCAGUCCGUCCAAAGCCCACAUCGGCGCAUCCUCCUCAGAUGGGUCUUUGAGCUAGUUGGCGAUGAACAGUGAUUCACUCCCGAUGGCCACUACCCCCCGGCCCACGGACGACACCGAGGUGUUGUCCCAGAGGAUACCGGACCAGGGGAGACGGUCCUAGAGACGCCCCAAGGCGAAAUCCCAGACGUCGGGAACAUGGGGGGAAAGACCCACAUGGGUUCUGAUGACAGGGGCCACAGCAAGUCUGGUCCCUAGCCGGAUACUGCAUUGGAACCUCCAGCGGUUCCGGAUUCAGGUAGGCAGCCCCUCACUAAGGAGGGCGAGCCGCCUGUGCCGAUGACUUAUCUCCAUACAGAGUCAUCGGAAAACUUGCUGGAAGCGCUUUGCGGCACUUCUAUUGACGAGGACCACCGCACCAUCAUGAGUGCAGUGAUCGAGAAAGUUCGGUCCGCCAAAAGCGGAUUGACCGAAGCCUGCGCUAGCCUCCUAAUAGGCUUUGAGGUAAGUAAUCAAAUUAUCAUAGUAUAGACAGUAGCCCCUGAUGCUCUGUUUGGUGUUUGGAAAGAAAGGCCGAACAGAGGAUCAAAUAACAUCCAAAGGAGUCUAAUCAGAAUAUGUCUAUGUGAAUAAGCAGGCAUCGCUGCUGGCCGCUGCCGCUCGUAUUGCCGAGGUUUCCAGACUGAAGUGGGACCUGGAGCGGAACGAGGAAUAGCUCGGCCUCGUGAAGAGGCAACUCGAGGAGAACAAAGGUAAGUGAUACCCCGUCUGUCUAUUGAUAAAGAAAAAUGGUUUUAGCUCAUAGAAUCGUCAUGAACUUUAAUAGCGGCCACGAAUGAAGUAGGGGCCCUGAAGAAAGCGAUGUCCGAGGCCGAAGACAAAGCGGCCAAGGAGUGCAUCGAGCGCAAAAAGCAAGAGGCCCGAGUAGAUGAGGUGCAGCAAGAGCUCCAGGAUUUCAUCAAGAAGUACGAGUCCUUGGAGCGUGACUCUAAGACGCAAGAGUCCGAGCUUGCGAAGGCCCUCUAGAGCGCACAAGAUGCCAAGGCCGAAUCCCAGAAGGCCCUUCAGGAGAUUCAGGUGGCCAAGAAGAUAGCGGCGGGUAAGGCAUUCAUUAUGCAAAGCAAGCAUGUGAAGGAGACUUUCCUUUUACUUACCCGAAUUCGGAGCUCUUCAGGAGCAUUCCCAGAUCUGCCGUGAAGCGUCUCUGAUGCCGCAGAGUUCUACCGAACUAAGGAAGGGAGCUCGACGGAGAAGUUGUUCUGGUCCCAGUAUAUUGGGGCCGAACACCCGAUGCCUUUGAGCGACCAGCUGAAGCAACUGGUCGAACUUCACAACGCGGCAGAACUAGCCAUGAAGGAUCUCAUAGUCCAGAUGUGGCCUGGCGAGCCCCUGCCCAGCAGUUACUUUGGCCUGGUAAAGCGGCUUGUGAAUGCCUAUCCGCAGCUUGAAGCCAUUAAGCGGUUAGUCUGCAUUGAAGGUGUGCGCAGAGCCUUCGCCCGUGCGAAAGUGCACUGGGCGAAGAUGGAUGCCAAGAAGCUGGUGACAGAGGGGCUGCCGGAGGGCAAGGAGUAUCGCCACCCCGAAAAGUAUUAUGACGGUGUCAUGAAGGGCGCCCGUCUUGUGGAGGAGGAAUGUGCUAAGGAUGUAAUAUUUGAAUGAAUGUACUCAUGUGAUCCUGUAAUAUGAAAACGAGUUCAUGUGCGCUAUAUAACGCUUGUUGAUUUAAAAUAUUACCUUCUGUGCGGCUGUUUAUAAAAUCUAAGAGUUGGCCAGUCGUCAGCUUCUGCCCCCAUGUAACUAGUACUGGGGCGUUCGGGAUAAAUCUAAACACUCUUCAUACAAAUUUUUGGUCCUUUAAGGAGGUGUUUAGCGCAGCGAACAAGGCAAUCGGACUAUACAGCUUUAUCACCCUCACUUAGCCAUAGAAGUCUACAAUUUUAAAUUUCAGUGAAGCCCCUAGUAUUCAGAAGACCAAACUUGGGGCGCUAUACACGCCUAAAUUGGACAAGGCCGAUUCCUCGUGUGAAGCGGAAAAAAUCUUUAAGGAUUUGAAACCUCUUGAACAGCGACCAGCUCUCACCGCAUCAUGACAGUCAGUUUUCGGCUUUCUCUACUGAGGUUCUCGUCCGGAAGAACCGGGACACAAUCGCAGUAGUUCUCCCUAUGCUACCUUAGCCGAUAUAGCGGAACGUAAGGUACCAAAACAUGGGAGCCGGGCAAACCCAACUAUUGACCCAAGAUAUGAUUCGGAGCUGAUGCAUAUAAUGCUAUAAGUUCGGGGUGCCGCACUGUCAAAAGUGUUUGGACUUUUCUUGCCGUGUUAUGGGGUACACUGAAGCCCCUGGCGAGCUGAACGUACCAAAGUGUACGGGUGCAAUUUGUAAUAAAUAAGCAGUCAAGGGAAAAAGAUAAAGAAAUGUAGUAAUAAGCUGACGUUGUACAUUAUUUUCCAUUGUUUUUUAAAAUAAUACGUCAAAGCGUAUGUAUACAAGUAGUGCGAUAAGAAAAAUAGGACUAUUUGACAUGUCCUGGCCAAGGGCAAGCUUCGUGUGGGUAUGUAAAACAGGUAUAACGAUCGUUAUCAGAGACCACCUGGGAUUCCCUUAUGUGUCGAAGCUUCUUGACUCCUUGGUGUUUCCGUCCCGCUAUGGGUCUGAUAGCCGGACUAUCGGAAGAGCCUCCUGAAAAUAGGGACCUAAAAAGAGAAGGUGUGAGGGUAUACGGAACCUGCGGCGAUUGAGCCGCAUUGUGGACCGUGUUGUAGUCGUGCCUCCGCCUAUGCCCAUGGUAUUUUGAGUGUGUAGUUAUGUACGCGCGGCACAAAUUUCGCCGCUUGACUGGGACCAGGACGGAGGCCGAAUUGCUAGGCGAGCUCUGGACGUGCCGGACGAUCCUGUUGCAGGGAACUCCGGACUCGCUUGACGGUGUCCGGAGGCUUUAUUACCCAAUUAGAGGUCUGCCUAAAAAGGCUGCUCUGUACUUGUGCUGCGAGGGCCGUAGUGUGCUCCUCCGUACGGAGCGAGCACUCUGUGUUUCCAUUAACUAUUAUAACCCCAUGAGGUCCUGGCAUUUUGAGCUUGAGGUAUGCAUAAUGUGGUACCGCAUUGAAUCCAGCAGAUGUGGUUCGUCCGAGCAGUGCAUGGUAGCCACUGUAGAAAGGGACGAUAUCGAAGAUUAAUUCCUCACUUCGGAAGUUGUCCGAAGAUCCGAAGACUACUUCCAGUGUGAUUGAGCCCGUGCAAUAGGCCUCUACACCUGGUAUGACACCUUUGAAGGUGGUUUUUGUGAGUUUGAUCCUUGAGGGGUCGAUGCCCAUUUUGCACACUGUAUCCUGAUAAAGCAGGUUCAGGCUGCUGCCACCGUCCAUAAGGACUCGUGUGAUGUGGAAUCCGUCAAUGAUGGGGUCGAGGACCAAUGCGGCCGAACCGCCAUGACGGAUACUGGUAGGAUGGUCCCUACUAUCGAAAGUGAUCGGACAAGAAGACCAUGGGUUGAAUUUUGGGGCGACUGGCUCCAUCGCAUACACGUCCCUUAGUGCACGCUUCCGUUCCCUCUUGGGAAUAUGGGUUGCGUAUAUCAUGUUCACCGUUUUCACCUGGGGAGGAAAUUUCUUCUGCCCUCCUAUGUUUGGCGGCCGGGGCUCCUUGUCAUCAUUGCUAUGCAGCCCCUUUUCCUUGUUUUUGGCAUUCACCUUGCCGGCCUGUUUGAACACCCAGCAUUCUCUGUUGGUGUGGUUGGUUGGUUUAUCGGGGGUGCCGUGAAUUUGACACGAGCGAUCGAGUAUGCGGUCCAGACUGGACGGGCCUGGAUUGUUUCUUUUGAAUGGCUUUUUCUGCUGACCGGACUUAGGGCCACUGAAUCCGGCAUUGACUGUCGUGUCUUCGGUGUUGUCGCCGUUGUUGCGACGCUUGUGUCUAUUGCAUCGUGGCUUGCCGUUGCAACCUCUGGCAUCUGAAGUGCCAGGAUUUCUUGAUGUGUUGUUGCUAUGAGCUAGCCAGCUGUCCUCGCCCGCACAAAAGUGGGUCAUGAGUGUCGUGAGGGCUGCCAUGGACUUCGGCUUCUCUUGGCCAAGAUGUCGGGCGAGCCACUCGUCGCGGAUGUUAUGAUUAAAGGCCGCUAGGACUUCGGCAUCCGGAUAGUCGACAAUUUGGUUCUUUUUAGUUAGGAACCGAGUCCAGAAUUUCCUGGCUGACUCUCCGGGUUGUUGGGUUAUGUGACUUAAGUCAUCAGUGUCCGGUGGUCGCACAUAAGUGCCCUGGAAGUUGUCAAGGAAUGUGUCUUCCAGGUUCUCCAGACUGCCAAUGGAGUUUGCCGGCAAGCUAUUCAGCCAAUAUUGAGCCGGUCCUUUGAGCUUAAGUGGGAGGUACUUGAUGGCAUGUAGAUCAUCGCCGCGGGCCGUGUGAAUGUGGAGAAGGAAAUCUUCAAUCCAUACCGCAGGGUCUGUUGUACCAUCAUAUGAUUCAAUGUUCACGGGUUUAAACCCUUCUGGGAAAUCAUGAUCCAUUACUUCAUCAGUGAAGCAUAGGGGGUGUGUGGCGCCUCUAUGCCGGGCUACAUCAUGACGCAGUUCAAAUGAGUCUGGUCUGUUGUGUUCGGCCCGGCCGGACUUGUUUUUAGUGUAUCCGGCGUGACGGUCAUCGUCACGCAUUGUGGCGCGCCCCCGUGAUCCGUAGAUCGAUCUUGACUGUCUUGCUUUGUUUUCCAAUACGUCUUGUAGGUCCUGCGUGUAGCCCCGGGCCUUAGUGUUUUUGUUCGAUUGGCGACGGGGUGCGGGCUGGUGUUCGGGCCGAUACGCCACUUUGUCUCAACCACGAGGUGGCUGGUCAGCCGCAUCGUGCACUGGUAGUGUGGGUUUUGAUGCCCCCUCCUCGAGUUGAGGUAGAAACCUGCGCUUAAGGUAACUUUUGGUUGGGCGCUCGAGUCCGUAUUCCUCGGCUGCCAGGACCUCAGCCCAUCUAUCAGUUAGCAGAUCUUGAUCAGCUUGAAGCUGUUGUUGUUUCUUCUUCAGGCUUUUUGCAGUGGCUAUAAGCCGACGCUUGAAGUGCUCCUGCUCGACGGGGUCCUCAGGCACGAUGAAUUCUUCGUCGCCAAGGCUCACUUCAUCUUCGGAGAGGGGCAUGUAAUUGUUAUCCUCUAAUUCUCCAUUGGUUGCAUGUUCCUUAGGGCUAGCUUGCCCAUCCUCCCGCUCGGCAUGCUCGAAGCCUGGUUGGGCGGGAUUGUUUUCCUCGUCGGCACCAUCUGGAUUGCUAUCAUCUCUUGUGUCGGUAUUGCUAUUUUUGCUAUGGCGGGGCUUAGAGCGGCGUCGAUGACGCCGGUGCUUAGAUUGCUUCUCCAAGGGAUUAUCCUCUGUUGCCUCAUCGCCAUUGCUUUCUUUGGGGGUGUCCACCAUAUAUAUAUAUAUAUAUAUAUAUAUAUAUAUAUAUAUAUAUAUAUCAUAUGAUGAGGUGGCUGUCUAGCGCCCUGUGGGCGGUGGUUCCUUUUCUUCUCCUGCAUCGUCGUCCAUACCGUCGAUGUCUUCGGAGUCGAAGUCAAGCACGUCGGUUAAGUCAUCAACAGUGGCUAUUAAGUGGGUGGUGAGUGGGGAACGAAUUUCUUCGUUGUCUGCUUCCCACUCAAGCCGGACAUAGUUCGGCCAAGAGUCUCCUGAUAGAGAGAGAGAGACCUCAAUGAAUUUAGCACUUCACCCAGGCGUGAGUGCUGAAAGAUAUCCGCGGAGGUAAACUCCAUGAUCGGUUCCCAAUCAGAUUCGAUAGGCACGGAUGCACGCGGUUUGGAACCUAUGGCCGGAGACGAGUCCGAGGGUCCGAUGACACAGAUCUCUUUGGAGGUGAAGUCUGUGUUCGGCUCCAGCGCCGAUGAAUGUGCGGCCUCCGUGGCGGGGUCCAUCCACCCGUCCUCGGAUGGCGAGAUCUGCUCCAGAUUAAGGGCCGGGGCAGCCACAGGUGCGAUCUCCCGAACACCGUCCGAUGGCAGAUCUAAGUCAUGCCCGUCGUGACUGUUCGACGCUCCUGACAUGGGCUCGAAUCCGUCGAAGGACAAGUCUCCGCGGAUGUCGGUAGUGUAGUUCAAGUUUCCAAACUUGACCUGAUGGCCAGGGGCGUAGCUGUCGAUCUGCUCCAUAUGGCCAAGCGAGUUGGCCCGCGAUACGAAGCCGCCGAAUAUGAAGAUCUGUCCGGGGAGGAAAACCUCACCCUGGAUUGCAUCGUUGCAGAUGAUUGAAGGAGCCAUCAAGCCUUAUCGUGACGACACAGUGGAACUCUCAAUGAAAGCACCAAUGUCGGUGUCAAAACCAGCGGAUCUCGGGUAGGGGGUCCCGAACUGUGCGUCUAAGGCUAAUGGUAACAGGAGGUGGGGGACACAAUGUUUACCCAGGUUCGGGCCCUCUCAAUGGAGGUAAUACCCUACUUCCUACUUGAUUGAUCUUGAUGAUAUGAGUAUUACAAGAGUUGAUCUACCACGAGAUCGUAGAGGCUAAACCCUAGAAGCUAGCCUAUGAUUAUGAUUGUAUGUUAUCCUAUGUACUAAACCCUCUGGUUUAUAUAGAUACCGGAGGGGGCUAGGGUUACAUAGAGUCGGUUACAGAGAAGGGGAUCUACAUAUCCGAAUUGCCAAGCUUGCCUUCCACGCAAAGGAGAGUCCCACCCGGACACGGGACGAAGUCUUCAAUCUUGUAUCUUCAUAGUCCAACAGUCCGGCCAAAGUAUAUAGUCCGGCCGUCCGAGGACCCCUUAAUCCAGGACUCCCUCGGGCGCGCCCACCUAUAGGGGGCGCGCCGGGCACCCUCGUGGCCGCCUCCCUUGUUUCUUGACUUCCACUCCAAUUCUCCAGGUUUGCAUUUGUUCCAAAAAGAUCGCUCCCGAAGGUUUCAUCGCAUUUGGACUCCGUUUGAUAUUCCUUUUCUUCGAAACACUGAAAUAGGCAAAAAAAUAGCAAUACGGGUUGGGCCUCCGGUUAGUAGGUUAGUCCCAAAAAUGAUAUAAAAGUGUAAAGUAAAGCCCAUAAACAUCCAAAACGGGUAAUGUAAUAGCAUGGAACCAUCAAAAACUAUAGAUACGUUGGAGACGUAUCAAGCAUCUCCAAGCUUAAUUCCUGCUCGUCCUCAAGUAGGUAAAUGAUAAAAACAGAAUUUUUGAUGUGGAAUGCUACCUAGCAUAAUUCUCAAUGUAAUUUUCUUUAAUGUGGCAUGAAUGUUCAGAUCCAAAUGAUUCAAAAUAAAAGUUCAUAUUGACAUAAGAAAUAGUAAUAGUUCAAGCAUACUAAUCAAGCAAUCAUGUCUUCUCAAAAUAACAUGGCUAAAGAAAGUUAUCCCUAUAAAAUCAUAUAGUUUGGCUGUUGCUCUAUCUUCAUCACACAAAGUAUUUAAUCAUGCACAACCCCGAUGACAAGCCAAGCAAUUGUUUCAUACUUUAGUAAUCUCAAACUUUUUCAACUUUCAUGCAAUACAUGAGCGUGAGCCAUGGACAUAGCACUAUAUGUGGAAUAGAAUGGUGGUUGUGGAGAAGACAAAAAGGAGAAGAUAGUCUCACAUCAACUAGACGUAUCAACGGGCUAUGGAGAUGCCCAUUAAUAGAUAUCAAUGUGAGUGAGUAGGGAUUGCCAUGCAACGGAUGCACUAGAGCUCUAAAUGUAUGAAAGCUCAACAAAAGAAACUAAGUGGGUGUGCAUCUAACUCGCUUGCUCACGAAGACCUAGGGCACUUUGAGGAAGCCCAUCAUUGGAAUAUACAAGCCAAGUUCUAUAAUGAAAAUUUCUCACUAGUAUAUGAAAGUGACAACAUAGGAGACUCUCUAUCAUGAAGAUCAUGGUGCUACUUUGAAGCACAAGUGUGGUAAAAAGGAUAGUAGCAUUGUCCAUUCUCUCUUUUUCUCUCAUUUUCUUCUUUUUCUUUUCUCUUUUUUUUCUUUUUUUCUUCUUUUUUUCCUUUGUCUUUCCUUUUUUUAUUUGAACUUUCCUUUUUUCCUUUUUUUCUUUUUUUAUAAAGUCCGAAGUCUCAUCCCGACUUGUGGGGGAAUCAUAGUCUCCAUCAUCCUUUCCUCACUGGGACAAUGCUCUAAUAAUGAAGAUCAUCACACUUUUAUUUACUUACAACUCAAGAUUACAACUCAAUACUUAAAAAGAUAUGACUCUAUAUGAAUGCCUCCGGCAGUGUACCGGGAUAUGCAAUGAAUCAAGAGUGACAUGUAUGAAAAUUAUGAAGGUGGCUUUGCCACAAAUACGAUGUCAACUACAUGAUCAUGCAAAUAGCAAUAUGACAAUGAUGAUGCGUGUCAUAAUAAACGGAACGGUGGAAAGUUGCAUGGCAAUAUAUCUCGGAAUGGCUAUGGAAAUUCCAUAAUAGGUAGGUAUGGUGGCUGUUUUGAGGAAGGUAUAUGGUGGGUGUAUGGUACCGGCAAAAGUUGCACAGCACAAGAGAGGCUAGCAAUGGUGGAAGGGUGAGAGUGCGUAUAAUCCAUGGGCUCAACAUUAGUCAUGAAGAACUCAUAUACUUAUUACAAAAAAUCUACAAGUCAUCAAAAACAAAGUACUAUGCGCAUGCUCCUAGGGGGAUAGAUUGGUAGGAAAAGACCAUCGCUCAUCCCGGACCGCCACUCAUAAGGAAGACAAUCAAUAAAUAAAAUUGUGCUCCAACUUCAUCACAAAGCGGUUCACCUUACGUGCAUGCUACGGGAAUCACAAACCUCAACAUAAGUAUUCUUUAAAUUCAUGAUCACCCAACUAGCAUGACUCUAAUAUCACCAUCCUAAUAUCUCAAAACAAUUAUCAAGCACCAAAUUGAUCAUAGCAUCCAAUUCACUUUCUAUGAUAGUUUUUAUUAUACCCAACUUGGAUGCCCAUCAUUCUAGGACCAAUUUUAUAACCAUAGAAAAUACCAUGCUAUUCUAAGAGAUUCUCAAAAUAAUAUAAGUGAAUCAUGAGAGAUCAACAAUUUCUUCAAAAUUAAGCCACCGCCGUGCUCUAAAAGAUAUAAGUGAAGCACUAGAGCAAAAAUUAUCUAGCUCAAAAGAUAUAAGUGAAGCGCAUAGAAUAUUCUAAUAAAUUCUAAUCAAGUGGGCUUCUCCCAAAAGGUGUGUACAGCAAGGAUGAUUGUGGUAAACUAAAAAGCAAAUACUAAUAUCAUACAAGACGCUCCAAGCAAAACACAUAUCAUGUGGCGAAUAAAAAUAUAGCUCCAAGUAAAGUUACCGAUAGACGAAGACGAAAGAGGGGAUGCCUUUCGGGGCAUCCCCAAGCUUAGGCUUUUGGCUAUUCUUUAAUAUCUUGGGGUGCCAUGGGCAUCCCCAAGAUUAGGCUCUUGCCACUCCUUAUUCCAUAAUCCAUCAAAUCUUUACCCAAAACUUGAAAACUUCACAACACAAAACUUAACAGGAAAUCUCAUAAGCUCCAUUAGUGCAAGAAAGAAAAACCGCCACAUAAGGUACUGUAAUGAACUCAUUAUUUAUUUAUAUUGGUGUUAAACCUACUGUAUUCCAACUUCUCUAUGGUUCAUACCCCUACAUACUAGCCAUAGAUGCAUCAAAAUAAGCAAACAACACACGAAAAACAGAAUCUAUGAAAAACAAAACAGUCUGUAGCAAUAUGUAACUCCCGAACACUUCUGGAACUCUAAACAUUCUACCAAAAUAGGAAGUCCUGGGAAAUUUGUCUACGGAUCUACAUAAAAAAGAAUCAACGCAAAAUCAGGUUUCUGUGAAUUAACAAAACUAAUUUCGUGCGUGCAAAGUUUCUGUUUUUCAGCAGAAUCAAAUUAACUAUCACCGUAGGUUAUCCUAUAGGUUCUACUUGGCACAAACACUAAUUAAAACAUAAAAACACAUCUAAACAGAAGGUAGAUGCAAAAUUUAUUACUAAACAGAAACAAAAACAAAAAAACACAAAUAAAAUUGGGUUGCCUCCCAACUAGCGCUAUCGUUUAACGCCCCUAGCUAGGCAUAAAAGCGAGGAUAGAUCUAAGUAGUGCCAUCUUUGGCACUCAAUUCCUCAAUAGAGCACUUAUAAUCUUUAGGGGUUUCUCCCUUUUUGGCAAUGAUUAAACUCUUAGGCAAGAAUUCAAGAAAUUCAUUUGUAGCAAAUGGUUCCUUAAUGAUAGAGAGACAAUUGGGAUGAACACUUAUGGAUUUGAGGUCCACAUUUCCCUUAUUAGAAGAUUCACCCUUAUUUUUAGGAACAUAAAUGAAUUUGGCUGUUUUGGUAGGAGGAUUUGGAGUGUUUUUCACGGAUGAAAAGGCCGAUCCUAAGUUGGUAAUAAUAUCCUCAAGCUUAACGAUUCUCGUAGAAUCUAGAUCUAUUCUGUCAUUAACUAUAGGUUCUUUCUCUUUAAAAAAAUUCAAAGUAACUCCAACCCUAGAUCCAUAUUGGGUAAUUUGAUUAUGAAUUUCUUUCUAUCUAAAUUUUCAAUUAACUCAACAGUGGGAAUUUUAUUUUCAAUAAUCUCAAGCCUUUGCAUCACAUGUUCUAGAGUUAAAAUAGUCCCAUUUACCAAGAGAAGAGGGGGGGCCAAACAAAUCUAACAUAGCAUUAUAAGCAUCAAAGGUGUGGUUAUCCAAAAAAUUCCCUCCGGUAAUGGUAUCAAGAAUGCAUCUAUUCCACAGAGUAAUGCCUACAUAAAAACUGUGAAGAAGAACGGAAGUAGAAAGCUUCCUAGUAGAUCUAUUUUGAGCAUUGCAAAUUUUAUGCCAAGCAUCUUUUAGAUUUUCUCCCUCCCUUUGCUUAAAAUUAAUAAUUUCAUGUUCUAGAGUAAUAGCAAGAAUAGGAGGACUAGACGAGCACACAAAAGGCAAGCGAAAGAGAGAGGAGGUUGGGAAAGAGAGGGAGAAUAAAACGGCAAGGGUGAAGUGGGGGAGAGGAAAACGAGAGGCAAAUGGCAAAUAAUGUAAGUGUGAGGGAGAUGAGUUUGUGAUGGGUACUUGGUAUGUCUUGUCUUGAGCGAAGACCUCCCCGGCAAUGGCACCAGAAAUCCUUCUUGCUACGUCUUGAGCUUGCGUUGGUUUUCCUUGAAGAGGAAAGGGUGAUGCAGCACAGUAGCGUAAGUAUUUCCCUCGGUUUUUUAGAACCAAGGUAUCAAUCCAGUAGGAGGCUCCUCAAAAGUCCCACGCACCUACAUAAACAAACAAGAACUCGAAACCAACGCAAUAAAGGGGUUGUCAAUCCCUUCAAGGCCACUUGCGAAAGUGAGAUCUAAUAGAGAUAAUAUGAUAAGAUAAAUAUAUUUUUGGUAUUUUAUGAUAUAGAUUGGAAAAGUAAAGAUGCAAAUAAAAGUAGAUUGAAAGCUUAUAUGAUAAGAGAUAGACCCGGGAGCCAUAGGUUUCACUAGUGGCUUCUCUCAAGAUAGCAUAAGUAUUACGGUGGGUGAACAAAUUACUGUCAAGCAAUUGAUAGAAAAGCGAAUAAUUAUGAGAUUAUCUAGGCAUGAUCAUGUAUAUAGGCAUCACGUCCGUGACAAGUAGACCGACUCCUGCCUGCAUCUACUACUAUUACUCCACACAUCGACUAAGCCGACGAUGUCCUCUGCCUCGUUGUUCGCCGGGCGAGGCCUCGGCGGAGUAGGGCCUCUACCUCGGUGCCGGCAAGGCAGGGCCUUGGCAGAGCAGGGCCUCGUCGACGCCAGCGGAGCGGGGACUCGUUGGAGCUGGCAUUGUUCUCUGCCUCGUCCUCGGUCUUGCCAAACAGCGCCUCGCCCGCUUCAUCGCCCUCUUUGUAGGCGACCGUAGCCUCCGCCACUCGCAUGUGGUACCGCCAGCGCUUGAGGCGGACCUUGCGGGCGGAGCGAUACGAGUCGAGCAGCGCCUCCUGCUCCGCCCGCUCCGCGGUGAUCUGCUCCUCCGCCUGCAGGUGCUCCUGGAGGAGAUGGUGGUUGUAGGCGGCGUCGGCCUACGCCUCCCGGAACUGCUCCUGACGCUUCUGCCUCACCGUGUCCAUGUACUGGGCAGGGGCCUUGCCGAUGGUCAUGGUGCAAUGCACCGGCGAGGAUGGCGCGGAGGAGGGGGUUAGCGCGGAUCAUCGACUACCAUGUUAUUCAUUGGGAUGUCAUCGUCCUCCGGCUGCCUGCCGGCCAGCCAGUCUGUAGCAAUGGCUGCCAUCUCCUUGUGGUCCGUCGUUUGCCCGUCCCGAAGAGUGCUGGAGCGCGAGGAAGCCAUGGUGGGAAGUAGUGGUGUGGCAGGAGAAAGGGAACGGAGGCGGAUGACUGCGGCUAUGGCCGGCGCAGCAGUUUAUAUAGCAAUGGUGGGCGGCGGCGGGACGGACGUGUGGCGCCAGAGUAGCCGCCUCGGCAACCACGUAUCAUUAAUGUGGGCGGCAUACGGACGGAUGACACUUGUGUCGUUUGAAGGCGGAGCAAUCGCCUGCACCGGGAAGCGGGGCGGGCGGCUAACCGUUUCGGGCAGAAAGCGCGCGUGGGCGAGGGAGGCGGUCUGGAUGGGCCAGGGUAGUCAGACUCGUGCAUGGCAGCGGGUUGGUCCAGCCGGACAUGCUGGCUCGCCAGCAAGGUCGCUGAGCUGAGCGACGACAAUUAGACGAUGGACGUAGCUUCCGAACAGGAGUCGGCGCCACUGUCCAAGUCGGUUCAUGUCGUGUUCACCACAGAGCAGGUGCGGCCGCACUUCGACGCCCUAAUGGCGGAAGAGCUACCAGCACAAGAGGACCUGUGCUGCAACCUCCGUCUCCUUAACGAGCACCGGUGAACAAGCGAACGACAAUGUCAUCGCGGACAUGUGGCCCUAUGAUCCUGGCUUCCCGAAUGAGCAGCGGGCGCUAAAUCAGACCAUCCAUAGGGCCCGAGAGGCCCUCUCCGUCGUCCUUCGAGUUGUUGCACUCGUUGUGGCGUCGCCGUCUCGCGUUGUCAACUUGGUCAACGGACAUGAGGAAUGAGGAGAUGACUUUACUUGGAGAAGAUGACAGUGGGGACCCACCAGGGCCAUAGCCGCACGUACGCAAGUGCCUCCUUAUUAUAUACAACUGUAAUUUUAUUUGCUUCCUCCUGGUUUCCUGACAUCACGGUCCCACACUAUUGUCAACCUAUAUAGUCAAUAAACGAUAGAAUUGCACAAGGAGCGGCCGACGGCUGGGACCAAGCAGCUCGAGCAGUAUUUGUGUUUUUGAGGUGUCAGCACUGCAGAGUUUUUCUUGAGCGAUGUUUUCGUUGUUGUUCAGAGGAAAGCAGGGUAUUAACUGGGCGGGUUGUGGCCCGUCUAGCCCAGGCUAGAUAUCCAACCCAGAUAUUAAUUUUUUUUCAAGCUGAAAAUGGCUAGCCCAGCUAUACUUUUUUUUAGGAAUACCCAGGCAAGAUCAACUUGUUAUUCUCCGCCCCGUUGGGCUGCAAAUCUUUCCUAGGAGGGAUGCAUUAGGCUUAACAAGAAAAUGGGCUUUAAGAAAUAAUAAAUGGGAUGUAAUUAUAAAAACUGGGCAGUAACUAUAAAAAAUGAACCAAACACGUAAUUACUUUAUAAAAUAUUAUUUUUGGAUUUUAAAAAUUUUAAUUUCAUUAAUUGUUGCGCGUGCAAUGUUUCGUUGGAUUUUUACGUAAUAUAAAUUUAUAUUGAAAUUGUAUUUAAUCUGACUAGAAAUUUUGGAAUAAAAAUAUUUUGGAUCCCAUCAAAAUGUGGGAAAUUUUAUUUAAUUCUGUUUUGAACGGUUGGUUGAAAUUAUUAAUCAUUGUCCUAGCUAGAAAAUGGGUUGUACAUUUAACAAGUUGUAAAUGGGCUGUAGUAAAUUCCAUUACAAUUCAAAAAUGGGAUGUACAUUCUUAUAAAUCUCAAAUGGGAAAUAAGUUUGCUGUCACACACUUAUGGGCCUACUAAGAUUGACGCGUCCCCUCAAAAAAAAUAAGUUGACGCAUAUGCAAGGCUUUGUUAACUUAUAGUCAACACACGGUUUCAACAGCAGUGGCCGUUGGAUGUCCAUCCAACGGAUAUCGUGCUUCUUCUUCCAUCUCGGAUAUUCUAGCUUCACCCGCCCAAAAAAUGAUUCAUCCCCCUGACAUCUGGGGCGCACCGUUUCGGAAGAUGACCUGUGGGCGUACUAAGUUGACGCGUACCAAGGGCUUUGUCAACUUAGUCAAUAUAAACGAUUCUAGCUGUAGUGACCGUACGAUGUCCAUCCAACGGCCGUCGUGCUUCUUCAACCUCUGGUCUUCUUGCUCCAGCUGCCCAAAGAUGCGUCCGUCGUGCCGCUUGCACCUGCCUCUCGUGGCCAGGUGUGCUUUCGCGGAGGCCUCACCACCUCCUAUUACUCCCACCUCUGGCCACGCCAUCACUCCACUCACCCACACCCCCUGUUAUUCUGCGGAGACAGCAUCCUCAUACCGCAGCCGAACCAGUGAACUCGUACUCCUCUCCGCGUGGGCAUCCACUACCGCGUUUUCCCCCGCUCCACGGCAUCCCCUUUCUAGGCCUCGUCGUCAUCCACCGCCUUGGUGCUCUCGGCGCGGCGUGGUCAAUGUGGUCAACGACCGACUUCCAUCGGAAGAGUACUGUACGUGGAGAGGCUGACAGCUGGGUCAAUGGCCGCAGAAAGGAAGUGCCUUCUUAUUACGUGGAAAAUAAUGAUUCCUCCACCUGACAGCAGGAACCCACCGGACGGACCACCCUAUUUUGCGAAAAAGACGUUUCCCCCCUGACGGCUGGGACCUACCAGCUACAUCUUCACACGCAAGGAAAUGCGUCCAUAUUACUGGCAAAAAAAAUGAUUCGCCCCAGACUGCUGGGACCCACCAGCUACAUCUUCGCACGCAAGAAAGUGCCUGACAGUCGGGACCCACCUGGUCGAAGCAUACGUAGCAUUGUCAUUCUGGUCACGAACGUGUGCGUACAUACGAUCGGUCUGUCUGCUGCAGCGAUGAACCGUGGUCGUGUAAGGAAGGGCACGUGUCGCAGUAGAGGCGCGCACGUAGUAUGUACACGUACUUACAGUGGUCAGGCUGCAAGAAAGAAAAUACGGCCACAUACGUACAUACGGGCGGGGUCUCAAACGCGUACUCGCGCAUAUAUAUACAGACGGCCAGGACUUGUGUACAUGGAGAGGCAACGGACGGCAACAACGACAUCCUGUUCAUCGGGCAGCGAACCGGCUGGGUCGGAACGGAGGAACAACGUCCUGUUCAUCGGGAGGCAACCGACUGGGUCGGAAUACAUUAUGUUCAUCGGGAGCCAACCGGCUUGGACGGAACAGCCGAAUUGUAAAAAAAAAGGCAUAAGAACAUGGGAGAAGGAAAAAAUAAAAAUUGGAACAAAUACAUAUUGAUGACGUGAUGUUUGGUUGUAAAAUCCAGUAUUCACAUUUAUAUAGUUCAUUGUAUUUUUUUUAUUAUGUUUGAGGUGCUUUGUACUUCUGCAAUAGACCUGAAUCUUUUUCACCAAUAAAAACAGUUCUCUCUUUUUAAUACUUUUUGGAAACAACGGAAGUUCAUUCACAGAAAGCGAGAUAUGUGUUUUUCAGUUUAAUAUGGUUCAAAUGGAAAUUUAUAAUUCCUCGGGGAACUGAUUAUUUCUUGUUUAAUAAAAUUUCAUCAUAUGUGUUGUAUCACACUUUUUGUUAUAAUUGAAACAACGUUUUCACUUUUGGACAAGCAAAGAUUGUUUGUUCUUGAUUUUAAUUUGUGUAAUUGUUAUUUUAAAUAUGUAGGUUUUAAGAGUUUCUUGUAGUAAUAUACUACUCCCUCUGUUCCAAAAUUUAGUGCAUAUUUUGUUUUCUUAAAGUCAAACAUGUCUAUAUUUGACUAAGUUUAUUGAAAAUUUUAUUUACAUCUACAAUACAAAAUUAGUAUCAUUUGAUUCCCACGUAGUGUACUUCUUGAUUUUAUUUAUUUAGUACUUUAGAUGUUGAAAGUUUAUUCUAAAAACUUGGUCAAAACAUAGAUAUGUUUGACUUUUGAAAAACUAAAUUGGAUAGUUAUGCAACGGAGGGAGUAUCAGAUUUCUUGCAUAUUUUUUUCUUUUCUUGUGAAAUUUCUUGACUUGCAGUACAGAUGCGACAAAUACAUAGUGGUGAUGUGGGUUAUAUACAAAGUCGACGCGACAUCGGAUGGCGCUAAGGUUUACAGGCCAAAAUCAUCCGGACAAAAGAUUCUAAGGUUUACAUCUAUACUUUAAAUUUCCGCAUAAGCGCGGGGGAUUUUAUCUAGUUGAAUAUAUAGACAAUCCCAAAAUAUUUCUAACUUGUCUACUAAAAAAACUGGGACUUUGACCCAGCGAAAACUCACACAGCCUCGAUCGAGAUACAUUCGUUGAUGUGACCUGUGACUUGAUUAGGCUAUUGAUGGGAAAAGCAUGCAUUAGGAAAAAGAGCGAAAAAAAAAUAGUCUAAACCAUGCUAUUGCAUGGAUUGCUUGUUUCAGGCGGAAUGAGUAGUUGACUAGCUAGUCUAGAAAACAACGUUUCAGUAGAUGCUUAGGGUACAGAGAUUGAGAUUUGAGCUGAUCUUAUUCUCAUGCUUGUCCUUUAAGAUUCGUGAUGCGGACUUUUGACUUCUACGUGUGACUGCCCAUACACGAUCUGACGAGCUAGCUUUUGUUUAUAUUAGAUGCCGACUUUAGCGUUCACGAAUAGUCGCACAAGCUGGGAUAUACCAGCUUAAGAUCUCGUCACUUACAAAAUAAGCCAGGCCAAGCGUUACCUUUUCUUUUUUGAGAAAAAAACCAUACAACUCCUUCUGUCGCAGCUCUCAACUAUAAUUGUUCAUGAUUUAGUUAAGAGCUGUGACAGUUUUUCCGGGACAGAGGGUGUAAUAAUCAAUUAAAAGUAUACAUACAAUCAUUCCUUACAUCAUACGUCACGGAAGUUGGAUACUAGUAGUAAGAAGAACACUAUCGGGCCUAUUAGCAAAACUAAACUUCACAAUCAUUAGCCUUACAAUUGAUCUUAAUGAUCUUGAAAUUGUUUAGAAGCUUAUGAUGCUAAGCCCUUCCAUCUUUAGAUCAACAAAGAAGGAUCCGUUCGUGCUCGUUACUCACUCCUGCGAAAGUUAUGGAGCCUUUGGUUACUGGAUCUACCCGAUGGAGAUGGUAGCUCGAAAUAUCUACAACCGGUUUCGAUGGCGGUCCAGUAAUAUGCUAGUUUUUUUGUCAUCUCGUCAUAUUUUCAUCGGUUGUGGCAACUUUUACCUAUUUUAUUACUUUUUUUAGCUCCGAGUGAGCUUGUACUUGACCGCGGACCUUUCAGAUACUUUGCUUAAUAUCAUUCUGAUGCAGAGGCCCGGGGUGAUCCUCCUUUUCUAAAAAAAGGAAUUACAAGAUAAGAAACCACAAAAGAACAAUCAAAUUCUAAAAUAAUGGACUUGUGAAGGUUGAUGCCGGUAUAGAGAUUCGCGAGAUGCACAUGAAAUUCCGCUUCAUCAAUACUAGCGCACGACUCAAUAAAAUCUCAUGAGGAGAUGAUGACUUCACCUUUAUGAUUUUUGGCAACGGUCCUGCUAAAAAACUGUCGACUGAGAUUUAACCAAGUCUCAGUCGACCAUGUAGCAUUUUAUACCAUCAUUUGCAACAUUUUUUUCUACCGGUUGUAACAUCCAUCUUGAUGGUUGUAGCAUGUCGUCCCUCAUCAGUUGUAGUACGUCAUCUCAACGGUUGCAACAUCUUCAUUGACGGUUGUAGCAUUUCAGGUAAAACGGUUGUAGCAUUUAUUUGUUGUUGCUUGCAAUGUCGUCGCAACAUUUUUCGUCGCCGUUUGUAGCAUCUAGUUGUGCCGCUUGUAGCAAAAAAAUCACUCUGGCGUCAUUCGACUGAGACUUCGUUAAGUCUCAGUCGACUGAAUUCUAGACACACCCUUUUGACAAUAACCCACGCGCUAGUUGCGUUAAUGCUCUUCACAAAACUGGCAUCACUGCUUGGUUGGUCAGGCCAUUCUCUUCAUCAAGCGACAUUGCCCAAAGGCGCCUUACAACAACGGGAAUACACAUUGCAUUAGGUACGUAGCUUCGUCGAGAAUUGGGGUACAUGGGGCGUCGUAUCAAUAUUUUCACUUCUAAGUUAUACAUGCAUCCCUAGUUCUUCCAUCGCUGACCAAUUAUACACACAUCGCCUAAGGGCUAAGUCUGCAAGCUAGUUUAACUUGAUGCUCACAGUACUUUUCGGAUAAGUAAGACGCAAUUAUCGUACUACUCCACAUCGCUGUGCCCGUACUCUCCCACGCGCCAUUAGUCUGCCCAACAUGCUGGCCUCUAGCCUAUAAAUGAACACCACCCAGCGCAGGUAACAUCAACUGGAACCAGCAACAGCGGCCCAGACCCGCACUUGCUUAGUUGUUCAAUUGAUUAGCGAGAGACCUUCGAUAAGUUGGCAGAAAUGGCCCGGUGGGCAGCUGCCGCGGCGUGUGCACUCGGGGCGGCGCUCCUGGGCAUGCUAGCGUUCUCGGUAUCCGGGCAGUCACCAGCGCCGCUGGCCACCGCGGACGGGGAAGGCGGCAACAGCAGGUUCACGUGCACGGACACCGAGAAGAAGCGGCCCGGGUGCACGGGCAUCUGUGUUGGAAUAAGCCACGGCGUGUGUGGUCAGGCUCGUUGGGCGUGACGGAUGCCCGCGGGAUGGGCGGGACGCACUGGUGCCGUCGGGCUCGUCGGGCUCGUCGGGCACGUUGGUAACGCGCAGGACGAGCGGGACGCAGCAGCAUGGCGUGUGUGCGUUUGUGUGUAGUGUGUGUGCUCGUGGCUUGUAGUCAGAUGGCGACGGAGUAGUAUGCAACAGGCGCAGCGAAGCAACCUGACAUCGAGGUCGUGCGGACGAGAACUCCAAGCACACGAUCGGAUGACCGGAUCACCAGGAAAAGUCCGUGGGUGCUACGUCUUGGCUAGCUACAAAGCCGGCUGUACGUUGAGGUUGUUAGUGCAUGCAGGUGAGCUGCGUACGUGUGUAUAGGGAGACUGAGUCGGAGUUAGUUGGCAUGGUGGCGUAGGCAACGCAAGGAUGGAGUACGUGCUCCAGUAGGUGUGUGUUCCCUGGCCUAUAAAAGCCAUUGUACUCAGUUGUAAAUCGGAGCCGGUUGUAGCGAUGUAGCCAGUGCAAAGAGGAAAAAGAUUUGGGCGUUCGUGCGCCCGCGGUGGCGCAGAGCGCCGGCCGGAAAAUCUCUCGUGUCCAUUAUUUUUCUUCUUCCACCUCCGUUCGGCGAGAGGAGAGGUAGCUAGAGGGCUGCGGUUUCAACAAUUGGUAUCAGAGCUUGGUGUCUUGGGCGUGCUUGCCGUGCCGGAGGCGUGGCAGCGAUGGCGGCGCUUGCCGGGAGCUGCGCGUUGGAGCUCCGGGUCGUGUGUCGGCCUAUGGAGGUGGGCGGCGCUGUGGCUGCCAUGGCGCGUGGCGGAGGCGGCGGGCGGUGACGUCGUACGUGCGGCAACCGCGGAGGCCGCCGAGGCGCUGCGUGGUGGCGCGGUGGCGCGUCACGACAUGGCGGCAUGGAAGCCGCGGCGGUGCAGGGCAAUAAGACGCGGCGGCGAGCCGGGCGCGACCGGUGCGUGUUAUGGGUGUGCACUGGACGCGUCGGGCGCGUCGGGACCGCGGGAGUGGACCGCGUCGAGGCGCUGGACCUGGUUGCGCAGAUCGCGUACGUGCGCGGCGGGAGCGCGGGCCGGGAGCGCGGGGACGUGGGGAGUGCGCGCGAAGGGCACGGCGGUCACGGAGACGAGGAGGUCGCAAAGGACCUGCGUGGUGGCGCACAGGUCGCGACGGCUCGGGGCGACAACCGCGGAAGGUGCGUGGCACGGAGACGCGGCGUGGUGGCGCACGGGACUGCGGGCUGCUGCAACGGCAGCGAGCGGCGGCUUGUGCCGGAGACGCGGUGGAGGCGUACAUGGCGACGAGGCGACGACGACGGGGCAGGCCCCUGUCGGCAGGCCGUGCCGCGAGGCCGUGGCUUAGGGGGUGUGUGUUGGAAUAAGCCACGGCGUGUGUGGUCGGGCUCGUUGGGCGUGACGGAUGCCCGCGGGAUGGGCGGGACGCACUGGUGCCGUCGGGCUCGUCGGGCUCAUCGGGCACGUCGGUGACGCGCGGGACGAGCGGGACGCAGCAGCAUGGCGUGUGUGCGUUUGUGUGUAGUGUGUGUGCUCGUGGCUUGUAGUCAGAUGGCGACGGAGUAGUAUGCAACAGGCGCAGCGAAGCAACCUGACGUCGAGGUCGUGCGGACGAGAACUCCAAGCACACGAUCGGAUGACCGGAUCACCAGGAAAAGUCCGUGGGUGCUACGUCUUGGCUAGCUACAAAGCCGGUUGUACGUUGAGGUUGUUAGUGCAUGCAGGUGAGCUGCGUACGUGUGUAUAGGGAGACUGAGUUGGAGUUAGUUGGCAUGGUGGCGUAGGCAGCGCAAGGAUGGAGUACGUGCUCCAGUAGGUGUGUGUUCCCUGGCCUAUAAAAGCCAUUGUACUCAGUUGUAAAUCGGAGCCGGUUGUAGCGAUGUAGCCAGUGUAAAGAGGAAAAAGAUUUGGGCGUUCGUGCGCUCGCGGCGGCGCAGAGCGCCGGUCGGAAAAUGUCUCGUGUCCACUAUUUUUCUUCUUCCACCUCCGUUCGGCGAGAGGAGAGGUAGCUAGAGGGCUGCGGUUCCAACACAUCUGCCCCGACAGGUGCCCCCAGAGCUGCAUCGCGCUCUGCCCCUCCUGCCAGACAUAUUGCCGUAUGUGUACAUCUGUUAGGUCAAACUUUAUCGCUACCAUCUCAUGAAUUUCUCAGCCUUUGAGGUGCAUUAUUCUGUGCAGCUGACCAAGUGCAGCCAGUGCGGCCGGCGUUGUUCGUGUUCGGAGACGGGUCUUUGGACGUCGGCAACAACAACUACAUAGAACCCAACGAGGUAGGAGACCCUUGGAGAGCCAAUCACUCUUACUACGGCAUAGACUUCCCCAAAUCCGAGCCCACCGGAAGGUUCAGCAAUGGAUUCAACAUGGCCGACUUCAUCGGUAUGCUACUUUCAUCCCAUCAUGUUAUUCUUAUUUUUCAUGACUUACUUACUGCUCAAGACAUUGACAUGACCAAUUAUGCACAUGGUGGGUCUACUUGUUCUAAGGAAAAAGUUCAUUUUAGACCCUGAACUCGUAGACGUUCGGCGAAACAAACCCCCAAGUCGAAAUCCCGGUCGAUUGCACCUUGAACUAUGCAAUUUCGGUCUAAAUCAUACCCUGACAAAUGUCAGCCGGGAUUUGUCUAGCUGGUGGGCCAAGGAGCACCCGUCCUCCGCGCUGGGCCAGCCCAUUUAUUUAUUUUGUUUGCUCAAAAAAAUUAUCUUUAUUUUUCUGUCGCUCUUUUGCGGCAGAAUAGCGGAUAGCGUCAAACAGGAGAGCUUCCGUGUAGGACUCAGUGCAAACGAGCCGGCCCAUUAGCAGGAAACGAGCGAACGUACGCCAGUUGGAUUUGAACAUGCGACAUUUCGCUAGAUAGCCGCGACGCCAGCCAGUGCAGCUAGCGAUUGGGAUUGCUAUUAGAGUACAGCGUAAAUUUCAAGUAGUAUGGUCAGCGGCAGAUCCGUUUUUUUUUAAUCUUCAUUCAAAAGAAUGAACAAUGUUUUCUUGAAGAAAUUUAAAACUCAAACAAACUGUUAAAACGUGAACAAUUAUUGAAAACAUGAACAAAAAAUUAUAUACGACGAACGAUUUUCAAAUAUACAUUGAACAUUUUUUAAGUGUACGAUGAACAAUUUUUAACUACACAGCAAACAUUCUUGUGAUAUCCAUUGAAAUAAUUUAAAACAUAUUGAACAACUUUGUGAUAUGCGCUGAAAAACCAUUUAAAUAGCCGUUGAACAUUUCUGUUGUACACUGACCAAUUUAAAAUUGUGAUUUUGUUUUUUGAAAAAGUGAAUAAAUAGCAGCGACGGCAACCACACUAGCUACCUACUCAGUACGUCUAUACUGCAGCGCCAAUUUUAAAGUACAAUGUAUCGCGACAGAUUUCUUUUUACUUCAAAUUUUUCAACAUUUCUUGGAAACAAAUGUGAUUUUUUAAAUACGUUCAAUUCUUUAAAAAUAUACUUUGAACAUUUUCUACAUAUGUUGAAAAAAUUUAAAUAAAAAUUGAACAUUUUCGUGAUAUACGCUGAACAAUAUUUAAUACAUGUUGAACAUUUUUGUGAUAUCCAUUGAAGAAUAUUUAAAUUUCAUUGAACAUCUUUGUAAGAUAAUGUUUUUUAAGUCAGUUCUAUGUUUUAAUUUAGAACAAAUAUUUGUAAACCGAAAAAACAGCACGGGGUCACGUGUUCAAGGCACACCGUGCACUUUUUUUAACAAGAAAAAAAGAAAAGGUGGGCCAGCCCAGCAGAGCAAGGUGUAGCGCCCUUUGUGAAUUUUUAUUUCUUAACGGCAAAAAAAUAAAGCGGGCCGGCCCAGCAGGGUGGAGGUGUGUGCCCUCAGCGAAAUGCCAGCGAUCCUGGCCAUCCAAACGACUCGAAGGUUUGAUUUAGACUGGGAUUGCAUAGUUCAUGGUGCAAUCGACCGGGAUUUCGACUUGGGGGUUCGUUUCGCCAAACGUCUGCGAGUUCAGAGUUUAAAAUGGACUUUUUCCUUGUUCUAAACAUUACUACUUGAUAUGAAGGCCUUAGACGUGGGAUCGAUGUAGGCCGCAUAAUUGUUUUUAAUGCUGUGUUGGCAGGGUCUUGAACUCAAGACCUCUUGGCUCGGAUACCAUAUUGAAUUCAUGCUUCAGCUAACUCAUCCAAAAGUCCGAACUGAUGAAGAGAGGCGGUCAAUAUAUUUCAACACAGUCUUCAAUUUAGUAUAUUCUUAUUUUCUCAUGUAUUGUCUUAGCUUGCUUUACUUUACAUAUAGCAGUUGAAAAACAUACUCAAAGAUAACACCAUAUAUGAUACCCGGAAAAAAAAAGAUAACACCAUAUAUGCUAUCAGCUUCCAAGAAAUGUAAUAAGACAUGAAGUUAAAUAAACCAGUUAUAUGGGAUAAAAAUUCCAUUAUGGUUUGAAAACUACUCCCUCUCUAUGUCAAAGUAUAGUGCAUAUUAGUUUUGUCUGAAGUCUAACCUCAUAAACUUUGACUAUGUUUAUAAGAAAAUUUAUCAACAUCUACAAGACCAAAUCAAUACUAUUAGAUUCAUUAUGAAAUAUACUUGCAUAUCAUAUAUAUUUGGUAUUGUAAAAUAUUCAUAUUCUUUUACAAAAUUUACAAUGUUUGACUUAAGAAAAAUCUAAUAUGCUAUAUUUUGGCAUGGAGUGAGCACUGAAUACCAUCUUCAUUUCAAAUUGCAAGGCAUAUAAUUGUUCGAUGUUUCUCCUUGUUCACUCCUACUAAUUGCAGAUUCUACUCUUUUAUGCAAAUAAGCAUGGCUACUUUCUCUUUUCUUUGUUUUGGUUUCAUUAGCAUUUUAAUUUUUAUGACGACUCAAAAUAUGCAUUGUAGUCUGAAAUCAAGAAGAGUAUCCAAAUUUUUAAAAGGAAUGGAUAUACUAGCUAAGUUAUCCAGUUUUUUCAAAGAACAUUGGUCAACCAGUGGGUAUAUCUUUGAUUGAUAUGCAGCAAUGGCUAUGGGAUUCGAGAUGAGCCCUCCUGCUUAUAUGUCUCUUAAUAGUCCCCCAAAAAUUGAUGCCGGUUUCGCUGGAGUCAACUAUGCUUCCGCGACCGCUGGGAUUUGGAGAGACAGCGUAAGUGGACACUUUCAUAAGCAUGCAUGUGCAUUUGAACGUCUAUAUUUUUAAGGAAUGCAUAUACUUUUAUAUCCUUAUCUUCAGUUAUCAUAUGCCUUACACCGAUAGGUAGAGUGCUAUUUCAGGAAUAUGUGAGCAUAAAAUAAUUCAUAUGCAUAUAUUUGGCCGCAUGACAUACAAGGACCAUUGCGACAACAUCAUAGGCUUUGUACACAUCAAUUGUUGCAAUACAGAGUGUUUGAUAGCUAGUUAUAGGGGGUUGAUGGACAUCAACUACAAUUAAUCACAAAAUGUUGUUUGUAGGACGAUGGACUGAACAUUCCAUUGACAGACCAAAUAAAGUACUUCGCCACCACAAUAGAGAAGAUGGAGGCCAACCGUAGCCGGCAAGAGUUGAGCAAGAUGUUGUCCAAUUCCCUCUUCCUCAUCAGCAUCGGCACCAGUGACCUGAACUACAUGUACAACAUCAUGACCAGACCGGAGCCGGAUAACAAAACUGACAUCCCACACCUCAUAUCCUCCUACGGGGACAGCAUCACGGCCUUGUACAACUUGGGCGCGAGGAAGUUCGGGAUAAUCAACAUCCCGACCUUGUGCACGCCGAUGGGUUAUACGUGUGAUGACCUCAUGACCAGUCUCCCCAAGGACUUCAAUGACGGCAUCAAGCCGCUCAUGUCUGGCCUCGCCUCCAACCUCGAUGGCCUCCGUUACUCCGUCGCUGACUUCUAUGCCUUCUCAGAUGCAGUCAGCACAAAUCCGUCAGCAUACGGUAAAAUCAUUAAGAAUGUCGAAUAUUCCUGCAAUGUCAUGAAUUCGGCAACUAUAUUUAUGUUGUUAUGGCAUGUUGAUGGAUGCACAGGAUUUGUGAACACCGGAGCCUCAUGCUGCGAAGGCCCAUGUGCACCUAACUAUAGGCCACCAUGUGCCAACCGCAUGGAGUAUUGGUAUUGGGACACCGAGAACCCGACGGAGCAGGCCGCUAAGCUGGCCACAACUACAUUUCUUAAUGGCACAACCCAAUUUACAACGCCCAUGAACUUCAAGACGCUGAUCAACCAAAAAUGAUUUAUGUUUAUGUUUUUGGAUUGUAUCCACAAUAAAAGCGAGCUGAUCAACCAAAAGUGAUUUAUGUUUAUGUUUUCGGCUUUUAGUAUCCACAAUAAAAGCAACUCAUCUAUGUGAACCAUAUAUAUUUCCAUUUGCUAUGAAUUCUAAGGUGUGCAUUGUGAUGAUCAUAGCUUUCAAUGGUACACUGGCGCGUUGAGUCCGUUGUUGAGUCCUGAACAGUACUGAGAGUUGAUGGUGUGCAGUAACCGGUUUUAGAGUUGAGGAUUCGGUCCUAAAUGAAGUAGUAAUUUCAAGGUUGAAAAGUGGAUUUCUUUCAUCCUUGGAUCAUUACAAUCGUGGUUUACAAGAAAGAAACUAAGCGAUCUCUCCGGUUUAUAAUCUUACCGACUUACAACAUAUAUCUAGGAGCUACGACUAACGAACUCUAUACUCUAAGCUUUAUCACUUAACAUCCUCCUUCAAUAUCAAGAGUCCAAGUUGAGGUUGUUCUUGAAGGCUUUGGAGUUGUUGAACUUACAGUGGCUUCGUGAAGCCAUAUGUCCAAUAGCUUUAGUAAUGUCCAAUUUCAGCACAACCGUCGGAUCCUCCAAAGCAUUCAGACUACGUUGUGCAUAGCACCGGCAUGAAAUUAUCGUGUAGUAAUCUUCCUGUGCUUUGGUGCUUUCCCACAAGGUUAGGCAGAUCCUCAGCAGGCCUAUUUGAAAGAAUUUUGUCGAAGACCUUUAUAGCUCCAUGAACUAGACUAACUGGUCUGUAGUCCAGUAUGUCAACAUCACCAUCCAUCUUAGAAAGUAGCAAAACCUUGUCCAUGCAUGUCCCAAGUAGAAAAAGUCAUGUGCCCUCAAAAAAUCAUGCUCAAUGAUGCUCCAACAUGAAGCAUUAAAUAUUUCGAUAAAUCCAUCAGGUUGUCGGAGGCAUUGCCUUGAUACCUUUCUCCACUUCAUCCUCUGAGUAAUGGUAGCUUUGGGUUAUUGAUCCGUGUACACCCAUGAAUCUAAUAAUCAAAAUGCUGCAUGAUUGGAAUAUUUUGCAGAGAAACCCAAAAAGAGAAGAAACAAUUAUGUGGGGCAUAACAACGGUUGAGCUGAUCGCUGAUGAGGUCUUCAAAGCUACACUUGGGUGGAGGAUGAUCAACAAGAUUGUUGUUGGAUGAAGCAUCAAAGGAGUCCUUCUGCCAGGCUGAAGAUUUUAGAUUUCAUCGGUUGCCUAUCUUUUUAUCCAGUAGUAAUUUGCUUAAUACUUGUUAGAAAUGUUGUCUGUUUAAACCAUCUCCUGGAGAUCCGACUUGUGGAGUCUCAGGAUGAUGGAGCCUGGAAUUUGGCAACUAUGUGGGUUAUGGACUUAUAGUCUGUUGUGGUCUGUGUGGGCAGAUGAGGUUAGUUCAUGUUGUUCAGGUAGAUCAUGCAUUGUUUAUUUUAUUUUGCUUUAUGCUGGUCCUGGUAGCUGUAUAAGACAUUGUGGUUUCUUUUAAUAGAAAUCCGAGAGGAAGCUCUCUUUAUCAAAAAAAUAACUUAGGUGCUAAUUUAUUUUUACUCCGAACAAGGUGCCACUUGUUAAUAUACGUUGUGCAGCCAUGAAAGAUGGUACAUAGGAUAACUGGGUACUGGUUUUAGUGAUAACAGCCAACAAAACUUUGAUUCGUUAACACAUCUGCAACACAAAGCUUCAAACAUCAGCCAGCAAGUAAAGUGACAAUGAUUUUCGCCAAAAAAAAAAAGCGGAAGUCCACGUAGAACGUGGACACUAUUUUUUUUUUUUGAAACCGAUGGACACUAUAGAUAGUACAGCAAACUACUCCUGAACGAAGUUCAAACACUAGGAGUGUCAGUUUUGAUCGAUGUCGCACUGCACCUUGGCAAGAAAGGUCCAUGUCCAGAGAAAGUGUUGUUCUAAGCCCGAGCUCAAAUGUGCUCGAGUGAACAGUAAAAUUAAGAAAAAAUGAAUACAAAUUCAAAACAUUCUGAUUUUUGUUUGCGAAACAUUGAUAAGAUGUUAGUUGGCUUGCAUAUGAAACAUUUUGGAGCAUCUAUUUUGUGUUUUUUGCCACGGUUUUCGCGAAUGUCAUAUGGUGAUGAAUUUUUGCAAGCCAACAAACAUUUUGUCAAUGUUUCAGACAAAAAAAUGAGAUCUUAUAAAAAAAAUCCAUUUUUUCCUAUUUUACUGUUCACCCGAGCUCACAUGAGCUCGGGAUUAGGACUGCCAGGUCCCAUGUCCAGUCUGACUUUUCUCAAGGGCACACUAUCUCGAGGGAACAUGUCACACGCCAUGGCCCAAUAAACCAGUUAUUUUAGUAACCAAAGAGAUGAAUUAAUUAUUGUCCAAAGAGAAAAACAGUUGCUCAAAUCACGCCUUGCAGUCAAAAGCAUCGACGAGAACGCUCCCGGUGAGACUCGUCCUUUGUCAUGAGCCGGAGGAACAGAAUAGCACUGUGAUUGAAAAGUUUGUCAUGUACCUGACCACUAGCCUCUCCAAUGUGACAAUGCUAGCAAUGGGUAGACCGUAGACCCCCAGUUUUGAAAUUGAAAAGAAAAAGGAAACAAUGGGCAGACCAUUACGUGUGCGCACUGAAUCAUGCGUUGCAGCGCAUGUAGCCAUAAACCGUUAUUUUCCUCUAUGAACAUUCAACGCUUACGUUUUCUUGUAAUUGUAAGUAAUGUUUAUGGGUCGGUCCCACGUCAUUUUCAUCUGCAGCAGUGAAAUCCAGGUUUCCCAAGCUUACCAGUAGUACUGAUAGUAUUUGAGGUCUUGCCGACGACCUGUGUAGGAAGUAGCACAUCAAUAAUUGCUCAUGUAUACCAUUGCCAACACAUUGUUGGAAUAAUUAAAAUUUAAUUUUACAUUUUUCCCUAUGCCAGAUGAUCCUUUUCUUUUUCAGAAUAAAUAUUCCGUUAGUCUUCCAAUUAUUAUUAUUUUACUGAGCAGCACCAUGAAUAGAAAAUAACCGAAGGUUCAAAAAACAGUGAAAUAAAUAAAUUUGAAUAGAGGAUUCAGAUACCUCUGUGAAAGACAGCUCCCAAAUGCCUUUCUGGUGAGGGUUACACUUACACAUCAUUUCUGCAGCACAACAUAGACCAAAGAAAACCUAGCACUUAAGCUCUGUACCAAUGCUGUGCGGACAGUUACCAACCAUAUUCAGAAAAAAUGUGUGGUGGAUACAAACUGGAUGCCAUGGAUGACUGAAGGAAGCACCAGCGGUGCAAAUCACACCCUGGAGCUUUAAUUCAGGACUACACACCAGCCAGCUGAAAGCCUGAAACAAGGGAAAACUCUACGAGGCUGGAACUUGAAAGACAGAGACUACACAGGAUAGUUGAACUGUUGACCAGAUACAACCAGUUACCACUAAAGAAAGGGACAAGAAGCUGGAGUACUGAGAGAAGGCUAUGUGCAACAAUGGAAUCCAUGCUGCAAAGUUGACCACUUUUUUUGUCUUGAGAAAGAUAUUUGGACCCGGCACCUUUUGUACUAAUAUAAAUACAGCACAGCUUGAGAAUAAAGACUUCACAGCUAACUAUUCAUGGAAGUGACCAGAACCUAACACUUACGUAUUGGAUUAUAUUAUAGCAGUAAAUCGCUUCCUCUGGAGGGUGUACUGCUACUGGAUUCCUAUAAUAGCAUUCAUCAGUGAUCAUUCUGAAGAUCAACUUGAGUGCCUCGAGACAGCAACCAAUAUGGAUGCGCGCUCUACCUCUCUGCUUCUACUGACUUUGAUCCAUCUGCUUUUGCGCAUCUCGGCUCGCGAAUUCCUCUUGCCAGGCUCCUCUCUCUCCAUAGAGGAUAGCUCCGGCGCCCUCCAUUCGCCAAACGGUGCUUUCACCUGCGGCUUCGACAACAUCUCCCCAAAUGCCUCUGUCUUCUCCAUUUGGUUCUCCGACACCGCUGAGAAGACCGUCGUCUGGAGCGCAAAUCAUCUCCACCCGGUGUACUCCUGGGGAUCCCGAGUCAUGCUGCAUGCAGAUGGCAGAAUGGUCGUAGAAGAUUACAGUGGCCAGCCUGCGUGGGCAAACAAUGUCAGCUCCUCAUCAAAGGCCGAGCAAGCUCAGCUGCUGGACACCGGAAACCUCGUCGUCAGGGGCCAAGGUGAUAUCAUUCUAUGGCAAAGCUUCGAUUCUCCUACUGAUACGUUGCUGCCCAAUCAGAACAUUACUGCGGCUACAAAGUUGGUAUCUACUCAUAGAUUACUUGUUCCUGGGCACUACAGCUUCCAUUUCGAUGAUGCGCAUUUACUCUCACUGUUUGAUGAUCAGAAGGAUAUCUCUUUUAUCUAUUGGCCAAAGCCAGAUCUUACUACCUGGGCAAGGCAAAGAAACCCAUUUAGUACCACCACCAUUGGGCUUCUUGAUAGCUGGGGGUAUUUCCAUGGAAGUGAUAAUUUGACUUUUAAGUCUACUGACUGGGGUCUCGGGAUUAUGAGGAGGCUAACAUUGGAUUAUGAUGGCAACCUUCGAUUAUACAGUCUAGAAAACAGAGAAUGGUCAGUCACAUGGAUAGCAUUUCAGACCUGCUUCGUACACGGUCUGUGCGGUAUGAAUGGAAUAUGUGUGUAUACACCUAGACCUGCUUAUGCAUGCGCCCCUGGACACGAAAUCAUCGACCCAAGUGACCGGAGCAAAGGUUGCCGGCCGAAGUUCAACCUCAGUUGUCAUGGGCAGGAGAUGAAAUUUGUGAAGCUACCCUCCACUGACUUCAUAGCUUAUGAUCAAAGUAAGCUUAGCUUAGUUUCCUUCGAUACUUGCAAGAAGAUAUGCAUGAAUGACUGCAGUUGCAAAGGUUUCUCAUACUGGCAAGGAGGUGGAUCUUGCUAUCCAAAGUCAUCCCUUGUUGGUGGUGUAACCAGCCCAGGUUUACCUGGUUCUAUCUAUCUGAAGCUUCCAAAGACAUUACAGGUCUCAGGGUCCUCAAUUCCUCAAUCACAGCCUUUUGGUCUCAGAUAUGCUCCUAACUGUAGCGCAAACAACAAGUAUUUCACUGCAGAUUUUCUGGAUAUACCUAAGAGCAGUCGGAGUGGAUCAAAGUACUUGUACUUCUAUGGGUUCUUAUCAGCGAUAUUUUGUGUGGAGGUAAUGUUUGUGGCAUUAGGAUGCUGGUUUAUGUUGAGAUUGGAGGGCAAGCAGUUAACAGGAGUAUGGCCAGCUGAGGUUGGCUAUGAGAUGAUAACCAACCACUUCCGGAGAUAUACUUACAAGGAGUUGCAGAGAGCAACUCGGAAGUUCAAGUAUCAGAUUGGGAGGGGCGCAUCUGGUCUUGUGUACAGGGGGGUCUUAAAAGACAAGAGGGCAGUAGCAGUGAAAAGGUUGGCAGACAUAAACCAGGGAGAAGAAGAAUUCCAACAUGAAUUGAGUGUGAUUGGAAAGAUUUACCAUAUGAAUCUGGUGAGGGUUUGGGGAUUCUGUUCUGAUGGUCCCCACAGGAUAUUGGUUUUAGAGUAUGUUGAGAAUGGUUCGUUGGAUAAAACCCUGUUUAGUGGAAAGGGCUCACAGAUAUUACUUGAAUGGAAUGAAAGAUUUAAGAUUGCUCUAGGGGUGGCAAAAGGAUUGGCUUAUCUUCAUCAUGAGUGCUUGGAGUGGGUUAUACACUGCGACCUCAAGCCUGAGAACAUACUGUUGGAUGAGAACUUGGAGCCAAAGAUCACAGACUUUGGCCUCGCAAAACUUCUGAAUAGGGGCGGAUCCAACAAAAAAGUAUCGCGGAUCCAUGGAACUAGAGGUUAUAUAGCUCCCGAGUGGGUUUCUAGCCUCCCAAUAACAGCAAAGGUUGAUGUCUACAGCUUUGGAGUGGUUCUCCUAGAACUACUGAAGGGGGCUCGUGUUUCAGACUGGGCUUCAAAUGCUGACGAAGAAGUGGAAAUGGUCCUUCGAAGGGUUGUUAGGAUGCUUGCAGAAAAUCUGAUGCUGGAGGGUAGCAAACAGUUAUGGAUCGCUGACUUCAUUGACUCCAGGUUGAACCGCCAGUUCAAUAACCUGCAGGCAAGAACAAUGAUCAAGUUAGCUGUUUCAUGCGUAGAGGAAGAUAGUAGAAAAAGACCCACCAUGGAAAAUGCUGUGCAGAUGCUUCUUUCAGUUGAUGAAGCCAGUGGCAUAAUGCAGCAGUAUUCUACCAACUGAACAAAGAAUUUGGUGUUUGAUAUAGCAUACAGCAUCGAUGAUUAUUAUUGGAUCCAAAACGAAGAUAUCUGUGAAGUGUAUCCAUGUAAAUCAGGAACUACCAUGAGCCACUUGUAUGCUAAUUUUGAGUUUGGUAUUCGACCACACUAUGCAAGUUUAUGUAGUCUUAAAAUACUAAUAUUGGUGGAAAAGUUAUGCUAGUUUGUAUUGUAAGAAAUUAAGAUUCGGUGUGACCAUGUUGUUUACCAUGAAUGCAUGAUAUGUUCAUGUUGUGGUGCUUUCUUUCAGAGUAUACAUGUUCAUGGGUGUUGCUGUUUUGGAUGAAACUGUUAUGAAAGCAUACUUUCUAACAGAAAGAACUGUACAGAUAUUCAGACUUAUUGAAUCUUAGGACGACCUGUUUGCAUGGAAAUCUCACCUGUUUUGGUUAUAUCCAGGAGGCAAGUUCAAUCAAAGACAAACUAUGUCACCUGUCUACCUAACAAUACAUAGUUCAGUCAUUUCAUGGGAGAAGGAAGUUCAGAGCCAGAACAAUAUUUGGUGAAAUUUUAUCCCAAGGAUUUCAUAAGCAAAAAAUCUGACACAUUUUUCUUUCCACCUUGACAUCUCCAUUGCUCAUACAGUAAUAUGCAUAUAAAUAUUCUUUUUGGGAAAAGUAAAGAACCUCGCUGAGCUCUCAGUUGUGAUUGUUGAAUCAAAGAACUGUACCAAAAUACCAAUUACAAACUUGCCUAUUUAUUUCCCAAGUUGGUGCUAAUUCACCCCAGGAAGCAUGGGUGCGUCUCUUUGAUUUGCAGUUUUCCCUAGCUAUUUUCACACAGCUGUUUCAGGCUCCUGACUACACAAACAGCACAUGUUGUUGUGCAGCCAGUUGUGCGCCCCCAACCUGUCUGCUGUCUAGUUUCUAUUCUAAAGAAGCAAAUCAUACAUAGAACCUUACUUUUCCCUCUCCCAUGAUCUUCCAAACCUGCUCUGCCGACGAAAUUGAACGACAUUAGCAGAAUAACUGGCGCUGUUCGUGAGAUUCCACUUGAUGAGAUCAUCCUGGUCCGAGAGCCGAACCAACUGAAUUGUUUUCCCCAAAGCUUGAUGUACUGGUCAAUUCAAUUGGCGGAACCAUGGCCAGCGAAACCACAAUGCACUGCUAUAGCAUACAGUGCAGUAUCCCCAACUCCGAGGCCCCCCAUACUUCUUUGGCGCACAAAUCUUACGCGGUGGUGUGUUGUUCUGGUGAGAAUAAUCAGUACUCUGACCUAUUGAACUUGUUGUCCACUGCAUACCUUCACUCCUUCAUAUGACCGUCAUAAAUCACGGCGCCAUCAAGGAGGGCGACGCAGGAACAAAUCAUGCUACCUGCAAGGAGGGAUUGGCGGGAAAGUAAUGCAGUGCGACGAUUCAAGAAGGGGAACGCAAGUGACCUGCGGAGCGGAAGCGGAGGGCUGGUUCUGCUGUCGGCGCCGUGGGAUCCGGAGGCAACCUCGCCGUCGGCGACACGGGGUGCCGUGCGGGUGCGUGGGGACUCGUCGAGAUGGUGAAUUUUUUUUUU